GCCGCAGUAGUUCAGAUGGGAGAACGCAGGCCUGAAGAGCCUGAUGUCGCUGGUUCAAGUCCGGCCUGCGGCA
rnacentral:tRNA from 4 species